rnacentral:rRNA from 1 species
UACAGAGGGGGCAAGCGUUGUUCGGAAUUACUGGGCGUAAAGGGCGCGAUAGGCGGCCCUUCGUUGUCGCGUGUGAAGCCCCGGGCCUCAACCUGGGAAUGGCGCGCGAGACGGGGGGGCUGGAGUUCGGGAGAGGAGCGUGGAAUUCCCAGUGUGAGAGGUGAAAGUUCGUAGAUAUUGGGAAGAACACCGGUGGCGAAGGCGGCGCUCUGGACCGAGACUGACGCUGAGCGC